CCUACGGGAGGCAGCAGUGAGGAAUAUUGGUCAAUGGGCGGAAGCCUGAACCAGCCAAGUAGCGUGCGGGAUGAAGGCCCUACGGGUCGUAAACCGCUUUUUCACGGGGAUAACACCAUCCACUUGAGGAUGUCUGCAGGUACCGUGCGAAUAAGGGCCGGCUAAUUCCGUGCCAGCAGCCGCGGUACUACGGAAGGCCCGAGCGUUAUCCGGAUUCAUUGGGCUUAAAGGGAGCGUAGGCGGGCGUUAAAGUCAGCUGUAAAAUCGCGCGGCUCAACCGCGCCCCGCAGUUGAAACUGGACGCCUUGAGUUCACAACAGGCAGGCGGAAUUCGUGGUGUAGCGGUGAAAUGCAUAGAUAUCACGAGGAACCCCGAUUGCGAAGGCAGCCUGCCGGGGUGCGACUGACGCUGAGGCUCGAAGGUGCGGGUAUCAAACAGGAUUAGAUACCCCAGUAGUC
rnacentral:rRNA from 1 species